UACGGGGGGGGCAAGCGUUGUUCGGAAUUACUGGGCGUAAAGGGCUCGUAGGUGGCCAACUAAGUCAGACGUGAAAUCCCUCAGCUUAACUGGGGAACUGCGUCUGAUACUGGAUGGCUUGAGUUUGGGAGAGGGAUGCGGAAUUCCUGGUGUAGCGGUGAAAUGCGUAGAUAUCAGGAGGAAUACCGGUGGCGAAAGCGACUCUCUGGACGGCAACUGACGCUGAGGCACGAAAGCGUGGGGAGCAAACAGG
rnacentral:rRNA from 1 species